CUAACAUACUGUAGGAAACUUUAUUAAUAAAUUUUCUGGAACAUGAGGUUAAAGUUAAAUAUAUCGGCUUGCAAAAACCACUCUCGCCUCCAAUAACAAUAACCUCACUCUUGUACACAACACUGACAUGAGAAAAAACUUCCUGGGGCAUGAGAAAAAACUUCCUUCAUCAUCAACCAAACUUAGCCUUUCAAGAUCACCACCUUAAUUCCCAUAAUCUCCCCCCUCCCCAAACAUUCGGGCUUUGUACACAAAAGCUGAUGCCAAAUAUCGGUCUGAUCUCAUUGGCUUGAGAUGGGUCCAUUGCAUCUUGAACCAGUUAAAUUUUUCAACAGACCAGGGCUUGAAAUAACAACUGAUUACCAAUCAAUAAUCAGCAAGAAAUUGCUUAUGAUCAGCGGAAAAGCAGGGUUUUCAACCUGAAAAGCAGGGAAAGUCAUGACUGCCAAUCACCAUGAUCAAUCACCAUGAUCGGGAAUUUUGGGAAUGUUAUUUCAGGCCCUGAUAGACAAACACCAUGUUGAUAGUAUGUGUCUAUAUACAGUAUGUAAGCAUAGUGUAAGAAUAAUAGAAUACUGUGUUAAAAACCUUGCCAAUUAUUUCAGAUAACUAGAUAAGUAAAGUAAUAGUCAUUUGUAAUGAAUCUUUUGUAUUUGAAUCUACUGUGAUUAAAAUAUGUUUAAUUAAAAUGCCAGGUAAAAUAAACUUGUUUUCAAUAAAAGUUGGCUUCCAAUGAAGCUGCAGCUUUGAGGCACAAUUUCACUUGUGAUGUUAUACAUUUUCAUAGUGGACAGUAUAUAACAAGAUGAUGAAUUUAAUUAGAUUAGACAUUAGUAAUAGGGGAAAUGGGGAAGGGGCUAAAGGGAAAAACUGGGCAAUUUCACAUAUUGUCACCCAUUUUUAACCAAGCUCCUUUUGCUAUGGUGAAAGGUG